UCCUACGGGAGGCAGCAGUGGGGAAUAUUGGACAAUGGGCGCAAGCCUGAUCCAGCAAUGCCGCGUGUGUGAAGAAGGCCUUCGGGUUGUAAAGCACUUUUAUCAGGAGCGAAAUACUACCGGCUAAUAUCCGGUGGGGCUGACGGUACCUGAGGAAUAAGCACCGGCUAACUUCGUGCCAGCAGCCGCGGUAAUA
rnacentral:rRNA from 1 species